GCUGGGUAUGGUGGGGCACACUUGUAGUCCAGCCACUCGGGAGGCUGAGGCAGGAGGAUCGCUUGAGCCCAGGAGUUCUGGGCUGUAGUGUGCUAUGCCAAUCAGGUGUUCACACUAAGUUCAGCAUCAACACGGUGGCCUCCUGGGAACAGGGGACCAUCAGGUUCACUAAGGAGGGUUGAACCGGCCUCUGCUGGAAACGGAGGUCAAAACUCCCGUGCUGAUUAGUAGUGGGAUCGUGCCUGUGAAGAGCCACUGAACUCUAGCCUGAGCAACACAAUGAGACCCCAUCUCUA
ensembl:misc_RNA Metazoa_SRP Metazoan signal recognition particle RNA